AUUGAACGCUGGCGGCAUGCUUUACACAUGCAAGUCGAACGGCAGCGCGGGCUUCGGCCUGGCGGCGAGUGGCGAACGGGUGAGUAAUGCAUCGGAACGUGCCCAGUAGUGGGGGAUAGCCCGGCGAAAGCCGGAUUAAUACCGCAUACGACCUGAGGGUGACAGCGGGGGACCGAAAGGCCUCGCGCCAUUGGAGCAGCCGAUGUCGGAUUAGCUAGUUGGUGGGGUAAAGGCUUACCAAGGCGACGAUCCGUAGCUGGUCUGAGAGGACGACCAGACACACUGGGACUGAGACACGGCCCAGACUCCUACGGGAGGCAGCAGUGGGGAAUUUUGGACAAUGGGGGCAAGCCUGAUCCAGCAAUGCCGCGUGCGGGAAGAAGGCCUUCGGGUUGUAAACCGCUUUUGUUCGGGAAGAAAUCCUCUGGGCUAAUACCCCGGGGUGAUGACGGUACCGGAAGAAUAAGCACCGGCUAACUCCGUG
rnacentral:rRNA from 1 species